AACGCUGCGGCCGCUGCCGCCAGUCCUGCCGCUGCUGUUGUUGCUGCUGCAGUCACGUGGGAGGCCCUUUAAGUUUCCAUAGAGAGGCCUCUCCGGUGUCACAUGAUGGACAUGAUAUAAUGAAACAACAUUGUGGAGAGGAAAGCAUUAGGGGAGCCCACGGCUACAAAAACAAGUGAGUGAGAAGAGGUGGGAGGAAGAGAAACUACGCCACCUCCCCUGCAGCCGAGCCGCACGCAGCAGCUGCCCGCGGGAAGUGGGCGACGCCGGGGGGGAAGGGAGACCCGGUCCCCAGCCCCGGCUCGGGGACCCCGCUGCCCACCGCCAAGAGAACAACUUUUAGCCGGCAGCCUCGGCCAGCACUGCACCUGUCUCCGGAGCCUCCAUCGCUCCUCGUGAUGACCAAAGGGGCAUUCUAGAAGAAUAUGUUCUACAAAUAUACAUGCGCAUCAUUUUCCCCCUUGCGUCUCGCUCCGGAGGAAGGAAAGAGAAAGGGAUUUAAGCAGCAGCGUGUGUUCAGCCCCAAGGGUGAAAAGAGUUGGGAUAUUUUAUCAUCUGGAGUUUCUCUGCCUCGCUGAUGAUCUAAGCUCAAACCUGCCAGUUUAUGGGAGAUGAUAGAAAACACCCUCUAACAUCUGAGUUGCAAAAAUAUCUGCCUCUAAGAACUCAGGAGGACCUACUUUGUGGGAGCAAAGGUAGUGAGUCAUACCUGCAAGCCUGGAAACGAGAGUUCACUUGCGCCUCUUCAUCCAGUUGGGACGUUUCCUAGGCAACCAUUUAUGCAGCAAUUAAAAGAUGAGUUAAGAGACAUAAUGCUGUUGCACACUUAAUAGACUACAGUAUAGUGUAAGCAUAACUUCUGUAUUCACUGGGAAACCAAAAAAUGUGUGUGACUUGCUUUACUGCAGUCUGGAACCAGCCCUGCAGUGUCUCCAAGGAGAAAAUGGAAAAAACAGGGGUACUUUAAUGGAACCGAAUAAACCACUGAACAGGGAAGGAGGAAAGGAUGGAGUUUGAACUGAUUUGCUGGGAAUCAUGUUCAGAAUGCAUCCAGGAUAUCAAAGUGUAAGAGCAUCAAUCCUAAGGGAAAAGCGGCACCAGUUCUAACCCACCAACCACUUUGGACUGAAGUGAACUGACUGCUUAAAAUGGAGAACAGCUGAUGGAAAAGGACUGUGAGUUUUCUGCAAGUUCACACAGUCUUGCGGUGGAUAAAGAAGGAACCAGGAACAAGAAAUAUGGAAAGGCGUCUACGUAGGAGAAAGUUAAUGGCGCAGAAUGCUGCUGACCGCGUGGUUCUUGUCUUAAUACAUUUUCCAGCCUUGAACCUGAGACUGCCAGAGGCUCAAGUCUCUGAAUGCUCGUCUGAGCCGUUAUCUGCUGGUGGCCUGGUUCCUGAGCUAACAAGUGGGUGUCCCAGGCAUGCGUGUGGUAAUAGCAGCAGUGGUGCCACGUGGCGCCCAGAGGUCGCCUUGGUCUGUCCUGGAGAUUCUUGGUCCUCGCUGAAGCUUCUGAGUUGAACUGUGAACUUGGGGCAUCCUGAGAAGCGCAGGCAUUUUGGAGUUCCACAGCAAACCUGGAUGUUAAGUGUCAACACAGCUUAUAAAGUGAAAGCUGGGGCCUUGAGGAAGGGAAUUACCCUCAUCUCGUCCGGACCUGCUUACUGUGCUGGAAAACAAAUGGUUCCUAGCUGUUGUGACGUCAAGGCUGCCAUUCAAAGCAGAGAAAAAGGAAACCGUGGCCUCUCUUCGCAUCAGUAGCCUGGACAAGCCGUUGUUUCUCAGGCAUCCACAACGCUCUCUGUCUGGCAGAGCUGUGCAUUCCAUGCCUGGGUGACCUGGUUAAAUGGAGGAAACCAAAUGCUCUCCGUUGAAUGCUCUCCAAAACAAGCAUUCCACCCUGAGCUUCUGAAGCACAGGCUUCACUGCGUCCGAGGACUGUAAGUGGAACUGCAGCAUUGCUCUGCACUAUCUGCUUGCAUAUUCAGCUUCUGUGUAGUCUUAAAAGAGAGCAUAUCAUUAACAAUGGCCUUCAUUAACAUACACUGCAACAACGACAUUAUGCUGCCUUUGGGGUCAGUGCUACAAAACCCUUCUUGGAAAACCAGUGCUGUGUUAAAAAUCUUUCGGAAUCACAGUCAGAAGUUCAAAACCGCGGAACUGCCACUGGUUCUUCCCAUCCCACUUCUGCUCACCCUGUUCCCCAAUUUCAGAUUUCUGAGUUCUAGAAAGCCUCUUGUAUUUACUUACAUAUUAAUUUCUCAUGGUGCAUUUUUGUGCUUGUAUAGCCUCUGCAUGUAUAUGAAAAAGAAUCUCUACUAUAAGGUAUAGAUCACAGGCUCUGGAUUUUUCCUUAUGAAGAGGAACACCUCUUGCUUUUCAGAGAGAAGGAGCUAUUUCAAAGUAUCACAAAACCGCUCUCUGUUUAGUAACAAGCCAAGAUCCCUACAGCAAACAACCAUCUUGCAAGGCCGAAAGCUCACUAAUAAUGUUCUGAUCGCUUACUUACAUGCCUCAGAAUUCACCGACUUAAGACUCAGUCUCCCGAGGGCGUGCCUUCUUGGGUUUCUCUGGCACCAGAGACAACGUUAUUUUAUUAGAUUCUUGGAGGCGGACAUGACAGUUACGAGAAAAAGCACAGCAAUCACAUUUUGUAUUCCAGCGUUGUCUUGGUUAAGUCAAUAAUAUGCUU